AGGAGGAGCUGCCCGUCAGCCGCCACCGCCCCGCCCCCGCGGCCGGAAGGUCGCCGUGAGGGGCGCGGAGGGAGCGGUGGGUCCGGGUCCGGCCCCCCCGGCCCUGGGGGGACCCGGUGGCUCCCGCUGGCUCUCGCCGGGCCGACUGGGCCCUGCAGGACGAGAAGGGAAGCGUCCCGGCCCCGCCGGCAUUCGGGCGUCCCCUGCUCCGCAGAACCGCACGGGACCCCCGCGCCCAGCCACGGGACCGCAGGUUCCUCCAGCCGGCCGGGGUUGAGCCGGCAUCGCUCCUGGAACAGCCGAACCUGUGACAGACUUGAACCUGCGGCCCUGGGACACAGCUCAGGUCGGCAUAGCCGCAAAUGCCUGUUCUUGGAUACAGCGUCAUGAAAAAAACCCAAAAAACCCCACAAACCCCAAAAGUAAAAAAGGGGGAAGAAAGGGGGAAGAGAAGUGUGUGUGGGGGGGAGGAGGAAUGAAAUUCCUACUGAUCUGUGAAGAAAAGAUGUACCUUCUGGAAACGCCACAACCUCUGUAAUACCAGACAGCAAAUCCCAUUGUCAGAGGUGCGUGAGCAGCAAUAAAGGGAAAAGGAUUUCAUCCUCCUCAAGAAAAGACUCUCUGCACAAGCAGAAGAAAGGUUCUAUAGACUAAAAUUACUUCAGAGUCUGAAAUCCUGCCCGUGGAACAAUGCGUGAGCACCGGGUGAACUGUGCUGAAUCACACACACGAAAUACCUUUGCAAGAAAGACUCCUUAAAGCCCUUGGUCAUCUGCUCAGGCUGCCCCACAGUAACACUGACAGGCACCUUGCAACCUGUUCUGCCUGCUCUGCACAAGACAAUUGAGAAAAGCCAAAAUCUGUAUUUUCUAGGCAUUCUUUACACUGCCAAACAUGUCUCAGAAUAAAUGUGGAGGGGAGGGACUUAAUACUCCUCAACA